rnacentral:rRNA from 1 species
GGACUCCCCGUGAAAAACCGGAGGAAGGGGGGGAGACGUCAAUUCUUCAUGGCCCUUUNGCCCAGGGUUCCCCCCGUCUUCCAAUGGUCGGUCCAAAGGGCCGCCAACCCGCAAGGGGGAGCUAAUCCCAAAAAACCGUUCCCAUUCCGGAUGGUAUUUUGCAAUUGGACUCCANGAAGUUGAUUCG